GGAGUUAGCCGGUGCUUCUUCUGUGAGUGAUGUCCUUCCUGCCGGUUAUUGACCCGCAGGCCUUCUUCCUCACUGAAAGUGCUUUACAACCCGAAGGCCUUCUUCACACACGCGGCAUGGCUGGAUCAGGGUUGCCCCCAUUGUCCAAUAUUCCCCACUGCUGCCUCCCGUAGGAGUCUGGGCCGUGUCUCAGUCCCAGUGUGGCUGAUCAUCCUCUCAGACCAGCUACGGAUCGUCGCCUUGGUGAGCCGUUACCUCACCAACCAGCUAAUCCGACAUAGGCUCAUCCGAUAGCGCGAGGCCCGAAGGUCCCCCGCUUUCCCCCGUAGGGCGUAUGCGGUAUUAGCCUGGGUUUCCCCCAGGUUAUCCCCCGACUACCGGGCAGAUUCCUAUGCAUUACUCACCCGUCCGCCGCUCGCCACCAGGGAGCAAGCUCCCCGUGCUGCCGCUCGACUUGCAUGUGUUAGGCCUGCCGCCAGCGUUCAAUCUGAGCCAUAAUCAAACUCUGA
rnacentral:rRNA from 1 species